CCCUAGCCCGGAUUGCAGUGGAAAUCCUUUUUUGAAAAAAAAGAUUGCAACGAAAAGCCGGAAAUUGC
rfam:Chryseobacterium sp. IHB B 17019, complete genome.